GGCCUAUCAUGCAAGUCGAACGGUCGGUAGCAAUACUGAUAGUGGCGCACGGGUGCGUAACGCGUAGCCAACCUACCCACAUCUGGGGGAUAGCCCGCCGAAAGGCGGAUUAAUACCGCAUAAGCCAGUGUCCCGGCAUCGGGGUGUUGGUAAAGAUUUAUUGGAUGUGGAUGGGGCUGCGUGCCAUUAGCUAGUUGGUGAGGUAACGGCUCACCAAGGCGACGAUGGCUAGGGGAGCUGAGAGGCUGGUCCCCCACACGGGCACUGAGAUACGGGCCCGACUCCUACGGGAGGCAGCAGUAGGGAAUAUUGGGCAAUGGCCGAGAGGCUGACCCAGCCAUGCCGCGUGCAGGACGAAGGCUUUCUGAGUCGUAAACUGCUUUUUUCCGGGAAGAACCACUGCCUUGCGAGGCAGCCUGACGGUACCGGGAGAAUAAGCACCGGCUAACUCCGUGCCAGCAGCCGCGGUAAUACGGAGGGUGCGAGCGUUGUCCGGAUUUAUUGGGUUUAAAGGGUGCGUAGGCGGCUUUGUAAGUCUGGGGUGAAAGCCCGUUGCUCAACAACGGAACUGCCCUGGAAACUGCGGAGCUUGAGUCCAGUCGAGGUUGGCGGAAUGGGCGAUGUAGCGGUGAAAUGCAUAGAUAUCGCCCAGAACACCGA
rnacentral:rRNA from 1 species